GCCGGGUUGAAAAUAGCAUUACACAUUCUGUGUGCAUAGGACACAAUGACAUCUGAAGGUGACCGAUAGAACAAAGCCUGGUCUAAAUGUGUGCUGUUUUCAUGAGGGGUGAGCCUUCAGCCAAGCAUCCACAAAAGCUGGGGAGACAAGCAUACCAACCAACAGUAAAAGGGAUUCAAGGGAUCCGGCUGGAGCACCAGCAUCUUCUGCCCCAGAGAGGACCCACUUAGCAGAAAUCUGCAUGGAUUAUGACUGAGGAGCAGAAUCUGGCAGCAUGGACUACUCAAGACCUAGGAUCAGAUGAUGAUAGUAAGAGUAAUCAAUAUAGGGCUAGGAGCAGGGGCUCACGCCUGUAAUCCCAGCACUUUGGGAGGCCGAGGUGGGUGGAUCACUUGAGGUCAGGAGUUCAAAACCAACCUGGGCAAUACAGUGAAACCUCGUCUCUACUAAAAAUGCAAACAUUGACUGGGCGUGGUGGGUCAUGCACUUUGGGAGGCCAAGCACUUUGGGAGGCCAAGGCAGGCAGAUCACCUGAGGCCAGGAGUUUGAGACUAGCGUGGCCAACAUGGUGAAACCCCAUCUCUAUUAAAAAUACAAAAAGUUAGUCAAGCAUGGUGGCGGGUGCCAGUAAUCCCAGCUACUCAAGAGGCUGAGGCAAGAGAACUGCUUGAACCCAGGAGGCGGAGGUUGCACUGAGCUGAGAUUGCACCACCGCACUCCAGCCUGGGCGACUGAGUGAAACUCCAUCUCAGGAAAAAUAUAAAUAAAUAAACAAAAAUUAGCUGGGUGUAGUGGCGGGCGCCUGUCAUCCCAGCUACUCGAGAAGCUGAGGCAGGAGAAUUGUUUGAACCCUGGAGGCAGAGGUUGCAGUGAGCCGAGAUUGCACCACUGCAGCAUGGUGGCUUCCCUUAAGGCCUCCGUAUGUCCUCCAGCCUGGACAACAGAGCAAGAGUCCAUCUCAAAAAAUAUAUAUAUAUAAAUAAUUUUUUAAAAAAUCACCAUAAUAGCUAAUACUUAUAUACUGUUUACUACAUGCCAGGCACUGUACUAAGCCCUUUUGUUAAAUGAACAUAUUUAAUCCUCACAGUAACCUGAUGAGGUAGGUACUGUUCUUCCCAAUUUACAGAUGAGGAAAUUAACACUCAGAGAGGUUGCAUCCCUUCACUAAGGGUAACUGCAAACAGGUGACUGAGCUGAGUUCUGAAUCCAGGUGGUUUCUCUCCCGAGUCCCUGUACUCUGUGGCCUCUUUGUAGCCCCAUUUCCUUUCCAAUCCAGAAUUCAGCCACCACUGCCAGGAGAGUGGCAGUGGGGUGUGUAUUAGUCUCCUAUGACUGCUAUAACAAAUUACCACACUUGGCGGAGUAAAACAACACAAAUGUAUUAUCUUACAGUUCCAGAGGUCGGAAGUCUCAAAUGGGUUCCACUGGACUAAUCUCAAGGUGUCAGCAGAGCAGCGUUUCUUCUGGAAGCUCUGAGGGAGAAUCCAGUUUUGUUUUGGUGGGGUUUUUUGGUUUGUUUUUAUUUUUGUUAUUUUUUGUUUGUUUGUUUUCAUUUUCCAAAUUCUAGAAGCCGCCUGCAUUUCUUAGCUUAUGGUCCUUUCUUAGCUUAUGGUCCCUUCUCCCUUCUUCAAGGCCAGCAGUGUAGCAUCUUCAAAUCUCUCUCUCUCUAACCCUGACCCCCAUUUCUGUUGCCAUAUCUUCUUUGACUCUCCUGCCUCCGCCUUUCACUUACAAGGAUGCUUGCGAUUACACUGGGCCCACCCAGGUAAUCCAGGAUAUUUUCCCUAUCUCUCUAUCUUUAAAUUAAUCAUGUCUUCAAAAUCUCCUUUGCCAUGUAAGGUAACAUAUUCAUAGCUUCUAGGAAUUAGGACCCAAGCAUCCCUGGGGGCCAUUAUUCUGCCUACUGUAGAGUGGCAAGGAGUUGUCUCAGAUUUCAUUUUGGCCACUUAACCCAGCAGAAGGAAAGUUCAAGAUAUAUUUUAAGUUUAAUUAUGGAAGAAUAAAGCCACAUUUCUUUCACAUCUGAAUUGGUAACCUGAGAUUCAUAUCUGGUAAUAUGGUUUGUACAUGUCUUAUAAGCUACAUCCAUUAACUUAUUUAUUCAUUCAUUCAUUCGCUUAACAAGCAUUUAUCUACUGCAUACGUGGACUGUUUCAUGAGAUAAAUUAUCUUCUGUAGUGUUUUAGCCAUUUUACAUCUGGGGGACACUUUGCUACUGGGAUCUAGGCUACCCCAAAUACUACAAUUAAAUUUGAUAAUACAAUUUUAGAUGUGAGCACACAGAGGUUAGUUACUCUAAGUCAGAUUCCUUGUUGCUAUUCCUUAUUAUUUGGGUUAGAUUGUUUGUAAUUUUCUUUUUUUCUUUUUCUUUUUUCUUUUUUUUUUUUUUUG
rnacentral:lncRNA from 10 species